rnacentral:lncRNA from 1 species
GUUGAUGGUGUCAGAGUGAGAAAGCCUAGCUACUGCCUCCCCCUCAAAGCUGACUCCAAACCUCCUGAAUACUAAAGUGAGGGCCAUACUGAAAGGCAGAUGUGCCUUGGAUCUAUUCAGGGUUUCUCUCAUAGCCUCAAUCAUUAGUGCUGGGAGGUUCAAGGGGGUUUGGGUAAUCACAUGAAACAUAAUGCAGAUGUCUCGGCCUGAGAGG